rnacentral:rRNA from 1 species
CCUACGGGGGGCAGCAGUGAGGAAUAUUGGUCAAUGGGCGGAAGCCUGAACCAGCCAAGUAGCGUGCAGGAUGACGGCCCUACGGGUUGUAAACUGCUUUUAUACGGGAAUAACGCGCCUUACGUGUAGGGCUUUGCAUGUACCGUAUGAAUAAGGACCGGCUAAUUCCGUGCCAGCAGCCGCGGUAAUACGGAAGGUCCGGGCGUUAUCCGGAUUUAUUGGGUUUAAAGGGAGCGUAGGCCGCAUGUCAAGCGUGCUGUGAAAUGUCCGGGCUCAACCCGGGCCUUGCAGCGCGAACUGGGGUGCUUGAGUCGGAGGAAAGCAGGCGGAAUUCGUCGUGUAGCGGUGAAAUGCUUAGAUAUGACGAAGAACCCCGAUUGCGAAGGCAGCUUGCUGCAGCGGAACUGACGCUGAUGCUCGAAAGCGCGGGUAUCGAACAGGAUUAGAUACCCGAGUAGUC